rnacentral:rRNA from 1 species
UUGAACGCUGGCGGCAUGCCUUACACAUGCAAGUCGAACGGUAGAGGGGCAACCCUUGAGAGUGGCGAACGGGUGAGUAAUGCAUCGGAACGUGCCCAGUCGUGGGGGAUAGCGCAGCGAAAGCUGUGCUAAUACCGCAUGUGAUCUGUGGAUGAAAGCAGGGGACCGCAAGGCCUUGUGCGAUUGGAGCGGCCGAUGUCAGAUUAGCUAGUUGGUAGGGUAAAAGCCUACCAAGGCGACGAUCUGUAGCUG